GACGAGCGCUGGCGGCGUGCCUAAUACAUGCAAGUUGAGCGAUGAAGAUUGGUGCUUGCACCAAUUUGAAGAGCAGCGAACGGGUGAGUAACGCGUGGGGAAUCUGCCUUUGAGCGGGGGACAACAUUUGGAAACGAAUGCUAAUACCGCAUAACAACUUUAAACAUAAGUUUUAAGUUUGAAAGAUGCAAUUGCAUCACUCAAAGAUGAUCCCGCGUUGUAUUAGCUAGUUGGUGAGGUAAAGGCUCACCAAGGCGAUGAUACAUAGCCGACCUGAGAGGGUGAUCGGCCACAGUGGGACUGAGACACGGCCCAAACUCCUACGGGAGGCAGCAGUAGGGAAUCUUCGGCAAUGGACGAAAGUCUGACCGAGCAACGCCGCGUGAGUGAAGAAGGUUGUCGGAUCGUAAAACUCUGUUGGUAGAGAAGAACGUUGGUGAGAGUGGAAAGCUCAUCAAGUGACGGUAACUACCCAGAAAGGGACGGCUAACUACGUG
rnacentral:rRNA from 1 species